rnacentral:rRNA from 1 species
GUGCCAGCAGCCGCGGUAAGACGAACCGUGCGAACGUUGUUCGGAUUCACUGGGCUUAAAGGGCGCGUAGGCGGCAGGUCAAGUCAGUGGUGAAAUCCUCCGGCUCAACCGGAGAACGGCCGCUGAGACUGGCCUGCUCGAGGAGGGUAGGGGCGGGCGGAACUUCCGGUGGAGCGGUGAAAUGCGUAGAGAUCGGAAGGAACGCCGGUGGCGAAAGCGGCCCGCUGGACCCUUUCUGACGCUGAGGCGCGAAAGCCAGGGGAGCAAACGGGAUUAGAUACCCCGGUAGUCCUGGCCCUAAACGUUGGGUACUAGGUUGGGGACUGGACAUGGGUUCCCAGCCGAAGCCAAAGUGCUAAGUACCCCGCCUGGGGAGUAUGGCCGCAAGGCUGAA